CGUAGGGUGCGAUCGUUGUCCGGAAUUAUUGGGCGUAAAGGGCUCGUCGGCGGUUUGUCGCGUCGGGAGUGAAAUCCACUGGCUUAACUGGUGGCUUGCUUUCGAUACGGGCAGACUUGAGGCAUUCAGGGGAGAACGGAAUUCCUGGUGUAGCGGUGAAAUGCGCAGAUAUCAGGAGGAACACCGGUGGCGAAGGCGGUUCUCUGGGAAUGUCCUGACGCUGAGGAGCGAAAGGGUGGGGAGCGAACAGG
rnacentral:rRNA from 1 species